GUGGGGAAUAUUGGACAAUGGGCGAAAGCCUGAUCCAGCCAUGCCGCGUGUGUGAAGAAGGUCUUCGGAUUGUAAAGCACUUUAAGUUGGGAGGAAGGGUAGUAACCUAAUACGUUGCUACUUUGACGUUACCGACAGAAUAAGCACCGGCUAACUUCGUGCCAGCAGCCGCGGUAAUACGAAGGGUGCAAGCGUUAAUCGGAAUUACUGGGCGUAAAGCGCGCGUAGGUGGUUCAGUAAGUUGGAAGUGAAAUCCCCGGGCUCAACCUGGGAACUGCUUUCAAAACUGCUGAGCUAGAGUACGGUAGAGGGUGGUGGAAAUUCCUGUGUAGAGGUGAAAUGCGUAGAUAUAGGAAGGAACACCAGUGGCGAAGGCGACCACCUGGACUGAUACUGACACUGAGGUGCGAAAGCGUGGGGAGCAAACAGGAUUAGAAACCCUGGUAGUCC
rnacentral:rRNA from 1 species